rnacentral:rRNA from 1 species
AAUCCAUAGGUUAAUGAGGCGAACCGGGGGAACUGAAACAUCUAAGUACCCCGAGGAAAAGAAAUCAACCGAGAUUCCCCCAGUAGCGGCGAGCGAACGGGGAGGAGCCCAGAGCCUGAAUCAGCAUGUGUGUUAGUGGAAGCGUCUGGAAAGGCGCGCGAUACAGGGUGACAGCCCCGUACACAAAAGCGCAUGUGCUGUGAGCUCGAUGAGUAGGGCGGGACACGUGGUAUCCUGUCUGAAUAUGGGGGGACCAUCCUCCAAGGCUAAAUACUCCUGACUGACCGAUAGUGAACCAGUACCGUGAGGGAAAGGCGAAAAGAACCCCGGCGAGGGGAGUGAAAAAGAACCUGAAACCGUGUACGUACAAGCAGUGGGAGCACCCUUUGGGGUGUGACUGCGUACCUUUUGUAUAAUGGGUCAGCGACUUAUAUUCUGUAGCAAGGUUAACCGUAUAGGGGAGCCGGAGGGAAACCGAGUCUUAAUUGGGCGUUAAGUUGCAGGGUAUAGACCCGAAACCCGGUGAUCUAGCCAUGGGCAGGUUGAAGGUUGGGUAACACUAACUGGAGGACCGAACCGACUAAUGUUGAAAAAUUAGCGGAUGACCUGUGGCUGGGGGUGAAAGGCCAAUCAAACCGGGAGAUAGCUGGUUCUCCCCGAAAGCUAUUUAGGUAGCGCCUCGUGAAUUCAUCUCCGGGGGUAGAGCACUGUUUCGGCUAGGGGGCCAUCCCGGCUUACCAACCCGAUGCAAACUGCGAAUACCGGAGAAUGUUAUCACGGGAGACACACGGCGGGUGCUAACGUCCGUCGUGAAGAGGGAAACAACCCAGACCGCCAGCUAAGGUCCCAAAGUCAUGGUUAAGUGGGAAACGAUGUGGGAAGGCCCAGACAGCCAGGAUGUUGGCUUAGAAGCAGCCAUCAUUUAAAGAAAGCGUAAUAGCUCACUGGUCGAGUCGGCCUGCGCGGAAGAUGUAACGGGGCUAAACCAUGCACCGAAGCUGCGGCAGCGAACGUAUCACCCAAGACAACUUUGCGGAGUUGACGAUUGACGGAGCGAAGCGACGUCAAAGCGUUCAUUAAAGUCGAGUUGGCUUAGGGAUACGUU